CCUGGCUAAUGUUUUUAUUUAUUUUUUAAGAGACAGAGUUUCGCCAUGUUGGCUGUUCUCAAACUCCUAGGCUCAAGCUAUCCACCCGCCUCGGCCUCCCAAAGUGCUGGGAUUGCAGGUGUGAGCCACCAAGCCUGGCCACCUCUCCUUAAUUCAAGGGAACUGACGAGAGAGGACGGGGAGAAGGUGACAAGUACAAGCACCUGCAGUUCCCACCAGCAGCAGGAAAUAUUGAGGUGUGACCAGAAGGGGAACUUCGUAGCAUACACGAGAAAUCUGGUUACCUCCAGCUGGGGAAGGGCGGUCCUGGAGUGCCCUCAACUGAGGAGUCUGAUUUUAGGAUAGAAAAUGCUGGUGAAAAAGACAGUAGUCGUGAUGGAGAGGAGAUGUUCCCCAGAGCUAGCCCUGGGAUCCAGGUGAUUCGAGAUGGGCUAUAGGAACCAAGGCCUCCCCCAGCGUGAAAUUACCAGGUGUGAGCGGCGCCACCCCACUGUGGGGAGGCGGGUCCGUCGCGCAGUGGGCACCCGGCUAUGCCUCAUUCCUGAGUCUCCCACGGCCUCACACCACAGCAAGAGACAAGGCGGCCCUGAUUCACAGCCCAGCUCUGCCCUGUGCCAACGCAGAGCCCUGGGCGCAGGACGGGGCCACUCUGUGCCUUAGCUUCCUCAGCCAUGAAGUGGGAUAGACGGGGACCCGGUGCCCUCCUACAGGCACAGUGGGGACGAAACACACCAACGCGGCGCAGGACACGAACGCUCCAAGCCUGUCUGUCCCGGCUGUUCCCACUGCACACCAGAGAGCCAGAGGCCUUGGGGCCAGGUCACUGCCCAGCUCAGAGCCCAGGGAGCCCCGAGCAGUGGCCCUGCACCUCCUGCCACUUCUGGGUGAUUCUAGAGGAGUCCCCUUACCCAGGGCCCCUCUGGCCUCUCCCCAAGGGGCACAAAACGGCCCCCGAGGAAGCUCCCAGACUCAAGCCUAUGACUCUUCACAGCCUCCUGAGACACUGGCCCAGUCCCGGGGCUCUCUGUGGUAGGGCCCUACAUCCCACGAGGGUUUGGAGGGGACUGACAAUAGAGGUCUGGCUGCCCAGCCUUGUGAGGAGCUCUCCCCAUCUGCCCAGCCCCUGUGGCCCCCAAGCCGUCUCUGCCGAACUCCAUCAGUGACCCAGUUGGAGAAAGGCCAGCUUGACAAAUGCUCUCUGCGGGACAAGCAGGAUGAGUGGGCGUUUCUACACUACAGGACACUCACCCCAGGCAUCAGUGGGUGUGUCUACACUGGCAGGUUGGCACCUGCUCUGGGAGGGUGCUGCCAUGUGGGCUAACGUGAGCCACCUGCAGCUUUCACAACCCGGAGCAGCACUGAGCGGGGUGGCGUGAGCAACAGGCUCUGCCCAGCCCCUCAGGAGCUGAGGGAAGCAGGUGGGCAUUGCCGUGUGCAGGAGCAACUGGGGAGACCAGGUGGGCUCAGCCCAGGGAUGCCGGAGGUAGUCCCAUCCCUUCUCACCUGCACCAGGCAUUUGUCCAGAUGCCCCACCGCUUCUCCCAAGGCCCUCCAAGGGUCCCGGCCAUCCGGGGACAGCAGGGGCUCCUGGCUCUGGGGCCCGGUGCCACCCUCCCUCCACCUGCAGCCCCUCGUGAGCCUCACCAGGGUGAGGAGCAAAGGCUUCCCCGGCCCUGCCACGCUCGCAUGGUGUCACCUUGUUGUGCAAAGCCCAGGCACACCUGUGUCGGGGUGAGGACAACAAGGAUGCCAGCGGCAGUACCAGCCAGGCUUGGGAACCAGGCUGAGGAGCCUGGGGUAUGCCCAGGUGCCAAGGGCCAGCUCUGGGGUCGUGCUUUUGCCCUCCUGGGCCUCCAGUCCAGAGGCCAGCCAAACAGAGGGACAGACAGGAACCAUCACCUGGGCAGGUAGAGAGGCCUGGAGGGAGGCAGCCCCCAUGCUCCUCACACCCAGCAAGAAGGGGUCAGGGGCCGGAGGCAGCAGCAGGGAGUCCCUGGCCAUCCCAGGCCAGUGCAUGCACACAUGAUGGGGGCCAGGGGUCCAUACCCCCGAUUUCAGCCC
rnacentral:lncRNA from 1 species